UCUACAGACUUCUCGGCUGGUGGCCGUGACGGAGUUUGGUCUGCAUGACGCAGGGUCUUCUGUCCUGGCAGCUUAGACAUGCAGGGGACGGGGGCGACACCAAUGGACUGCGGAUACAGAGUAAGGAUUACACAGUAGUAAGGAAGACAUCCAGUGAGUGUGAGACACCCAGCAGCCGUCCCUAUGUGUCAGUAGGACUGAGAAGGACACAGAGCCCCAUUACGGUGCCUCCAUCUCACUCACUGAUGAGAGACACAGUGACAAGAAGAUCCUGGAACUCACCAACAAGAUCAUUCAGCUGCUGACUGGAGAGGAGGGGGAGUAUAUAGAGGAACACAGGGGUCUGUACAACGACGUGAUAAUGGAGAAUCACCCGCCCACAUCACUGGAUGGGCCCAGUAACAGAGAUACCCCAGAGAGAUGUCCCCGUCCUCUGUAUUCCCAGGACUGUACAGAGGAGAAUCACAGGAUCCCACAGGAGGAUCAGGUACAACGUCUGUUUGAUAUUAAAACAGAAGAUAUAGAGGGAGAAGAAGAGACGUAUGUGACUGAUAUAAAGGCAGAAGAUAUAGAGGGAGAAGA